CGCUCCGAUCGUGUAUAGAACGCUAAAAGGUGGAAUUCUGAAAACUGUAGAACAAACAAGCGAUAGUAUUGCUAAAAAGACAAGUUAAGAGUACAUAAAUAUGUAGUAAGAGGAAAGAAAAGAUCUUCAACUGACAAACAAUUACAGUUGCAUGAAACAAAGGAGAAAGUGAUGGGAGCAACUUAUCUGUUCAUUUAUCCUCUGAACGCCCGGAGAUGCGCAUUAACAUUAUCAUAAUCGCUCAGUUGAACUAUACUUGUAUGUUAGUAUGUUUUAUCUUAUUCGUUAGUACAUAAGAAGUACUUCAAUA